GUAAUUAACUAUUUUCUUUCUUUUUUCUUUUUUAGGAAUAGGGUCUCAUAGGACAAUGUCUCAGUACAACCUCAAACUUCUUGGCUCAAGCGACCCUCUCGCCUCAGCCCCCCUAGUAGCUGGGACUACGGGCACACCACCAUGUCUAGCUGGGACUACAGGCACACCACCAUGCCUGGCUAAUUAAUUUUUUUUUUUUUUUUUUUAGAGAUAGGGUCUUGCUCUGUUGCCCAGGCUGAUCUCGAACUCCUGGGCUCAAGCAAUCCUCCUGCCUCAGCCUUCCAAAAUGUUGGGAUUAUAGGCGUGAGUCACUGCACCUGGCCUUGUAAUGAUCUAAUUUCUUGUAUGGUUUAUUUAUCAGGGUCUGCCUUCCUAACAGGCUGUAGGUUCCUCAAGGGUUGGGACUGUGCCUGUGUUCUGGGCACCUGCCCAUGCCUGGCAAUUUGAAGAAGCUCAAUUGCUACAUGUUGAAGGAAUGAAUAAUUGCAUGAGCAACCAUCGAUAAUUGCAUGCUACAACCAUCAAACUUGCAGGGUUCUUCCAUGGAAUAAGUGAGGUAAUUAUGUGUAAAAAUGAAUGAAUGUUGUACUUGUUAUAAAAUAAGAUCAUGGGCUGGAGAAAUAGUCCAGCGAAUGAGUGAACGAAUCAAUGGCCUCAGCUGCCCGAGUGGGCGGAGCUUACGUUCUUUCCACAAGGGAAGUUCCCUAGGAGUUUCCGUCAGUAGCUCCCGAGCACGCCGGAGGCCUGGCCUGUGGAUGAGAUUGUUCCUUAUUUCCCCAGCUUCAGCACCACAGAAGAGACCAGAGUCUACCUUGCCAGCUCCUCUAGCACCGACCACGUGCCAAUUCAUGUCCUGAAUGCUCACUUCACUUCUUCACCUUGCUUCACUUCACUUACUGCACGGGAACAGAAAAGCCUAGAGAGGAUGGAUUACCUGUGCGGUUGCCUCCCUCUGCAGAGUGGGCGUGUCUCAGGAGCUUCUCUUCUUCUCCAGCCCAGUGCGGCCUCGUGUCAUCCAUAGGACCCACCGGCAGAGGGCAGGGCCUGCGAGUGGGGCCAGCCUCCUGGUGACUCUCGCCUCCUCUUUUCCAGCGGACGCUACCAGAGGACGAAGGUCUGACUCUGGCCAACGGCCCAGAAUUUCUGGCCCAGUUUUGCCUGAGGAAGCCAACUGUGCAGGAGGUCAGGAUCCCGGUAGGGUGAGAGUGGGAAAGUUAACAUUCCCAAGAGACUCCAAGCAACAGGAUUUCCUGACCUGGGACUAUUACCUUUCUCACAUUACAUGGCCAGAUUUACUUCCUGCUAUUAUUAAAAGUACGAAAAAGAUGAAGAUAUGUGUUUAAUGGAAACAAGGGCAAGAGUUUGCCUGACUGGACUUUGAGGAGGCUGUAGGAUCAUGGCGCUAACGGCAUUUGGAGGGCUGGGAAGGGACUCUAGCCCUGGCUUUACCUGCCUUUGUCAUCAGCUGGAGCAAGCAACUCCGCAACCUCGGAGCCUCAGUUUCCUUUUCUGUAAAAGGCGGGGAGGGUGGGUGGUAAGUGCAAUGCUGAAUCAGAACUCAUAGAGCUGCUGGGUGGACAUGUGAAGUAAAAGAGGAGACAGCUUUUGCUCCUGAAGGAUGCCAUUUGCGUUUUCCUCAUCAGUUUGAUCUCCUCCAAUCAUCCAGCACCUCCAUCUGACCUUCUCAGCUGAGAGGUCCUCAGUGUUUCUGUGGCCUCCAGGAGAAAGGUCCCCCUCCCCGGCUGAGGCCAGGCUGAUGGCAGGCUGCACGGCCAGCCUUCCACAGUCACCUGAAGGAUACAGAAAAGGAAGAGCUGGAGGCUUCUAGCAAGCUGCCGAACUGUGUCCUCCAGCUGCGCCCAGCCCCCUGGAGGUAGCGCCGGAGCACGUGGUGGUGGCUAUGUAGGAAGGCCCCUUUCGAGCCGCCCUAUACUGUCUUUGGGAUCUGCUUUUUACUGCCACAGCCUAUGUGCUCCUGAUUCUUCUCUCAAUCCCUGGAUGGAAACCGGCCUCUGAUACUUGGCUCUGCUUCCUUGGAGGAGCUACUUAACCAUUCAGUCCUCUCUGCAGUUAGCUAUUAAGGUUGUCCUGCGAACUGAAGCAGAGAGUCCCCGCAAAGGGUGCAGAGUAGGGCACCCACAGAGGAGCCUCUAAAGCACUUUCCAUGAGGUGGAUGGCUUCUCCUCCCCAAGGGACCCAGGAAGGAAAGGAGAGCUGCUUCUGCCUCCCCAGCAGAGAGGGACCUUCCCAGAGAAGAUGUCUUGCGCCUCACCUGAUCUUGUUCUGAGAGUAGGAGACUGGAAGAGAAGCGUUCAACUCCCCAAACACAGCUGGGUUUGUUUCGUUUAAUCUCCCAGCCUGUUUUUCUGCUGUCCUCCUGAAGAAUGUUUAAUCUCACAGUUAAAACCACCAAAAGCGACUUUUUUCCCCCUCAACUGCUCAGUAACACAUGACCGUGCAAAUUCGUUUGGCCCCAGCGCCACAAGUCAUAAAAGGCAUCUAGUGGGCGGCAUGAGUCAAUCAGGCCUUUGGACGGUGACGUAACCACAGCUUGUCAGUUUCCCCAUCCAGGCAGCCCCAAUCCCCCAGUGCAGACAUCUGGAGCCAGGGAUUGACAAGUGGAUUCCAGGAUUGGGCCCUGCCUCCCGCCCUGUUCAGUUCCAGCCCAGCCACGGCCGCCGCCAACGAGGACACGCACUGUCUUUCUGCACAUUCCCACGUACACACACCCCCGCAGCCCCCUCUCCACUCAUUCCUGCAUUUCCGGCAAUGUGAAUUCUGACAGCUCGGGCAGUGUCAGCCUCUCCGGUGCAUUCCUCACCACACCACCUCACUGCUCCCGAGCCUGCUGACAGCACUCCCCGCCAUACCUACCAAGCCGAAGGUGCAAGGAACCUCUUGAUCCCCACUGUGUCUUUGUCCCAGGGCCACAGCAAAAUAGCACCCCCCUCCCCCACACACCCUCUAGCCUAAUUUAUUAGACUUUUAAACACAUUUAUUUACUGUGAUAUCUACACCACACCAAACAUCUGGAGGGAAACCGGGAGACAAUCCACCAGGAAUUUAAAUGUUUGUUCUGCAAUGUAACUUUGAAAACCGAACCAGGAAAACUUGACAUCUUUAGCCAAUUGCUUGGUGUGUUCCAGGAAUGUUCCUACCCCUGCGUCUUUGCUGAAGCCCCUCUUGCCUGGGAUGCCCUCUGUCCUCUCUUUCUGCCCACACACAUCCUGCCAGUCCUUCAGACAGGGCCAGCCUCACGGGCAUAGGACCUGAGCAGUUUCACAGGGCCCUAUGCACAGAAGGAUCCCAAGCUCGGUUGAUUGCUCCGAUCUUGCCAUCUUGAAACUCUUUGAUAAUUUUAUCUUUUAUCUUGUGUUUUGGGAGUGAAAUCCAAUGGGAUAUUGGGGCCUGCAAAGGAGAAGAGGAGAUCCGCACAAACCCGUUCCUGGCUGCUGCAUUCACCUCCAGCGUUUGUGAUGCCCCAGAGCACAGAACUCCAGGGAGCCCACGAUGCAGGAGAGUUCAGCGACAUUCACUGAGUACAAGAGAAGACUGUUGGGAGGCACCAAUGGACUUUGCAACUGGAGAUCUCCCAACUGGACCAUGUCACUGUUAUGUUUAAUUUGCACUGUGCACAGUAGGUACCCAGUCAACGUUUGUCGAAUUCCAUGGACUGGGCCUUAUACCUCCGAGGAUUUUUCACAGCAGUAGCAUGUGCACAUGCACAGAACGAGAACACAACCAAUGCUUGUUUGCUGGUGAAGACCUGGUCUCAGUAUUUUGCCCAGGAAACCCUUUCUUCAUGGACAGCAUGAGGCAAGCUAUGGCCCUUGCUGUGGUCUCAGUGGUUCAGCACGGAAGAUGAAGAUGACGGGCAGUCUCAGAAUAUUAGCUUUAGAAGGGACUUUGGAUCCUUUUGAUUUUGGUAGGUGAAAUACUUUUUAAAAAUAAAGAAAACGGACUUUGGACAAAUGCUCUCAUUUUGUAAAUGAAAAAGUAGAGACAGGAAGAGUAACUGAUUUGUCCAAAAUCAAACAAAGUAAAUUGUGUUGCAUCCUCUCCAUCCGUAACCACCUUCGCCUUCCCUAACUGCUCCAUGUGGCCUGGGAAAGUCCACUUCACCUCGUCUUAGAGGUGGGCUUCUGAUUCUAGCUAAGCCAACCCCCA
rnacentral:lncRNA from 10 species